rnacentral:tRNA from 1 species
GCCGCCUUAGCUCAGCUGGUAGAGCGAUGCCUUCGUAAGGCAGAGGUCCGGAGUUCGAAUCUCCGAGGCGGCU